rnacentral:rRNA from 4 species
AGACCCGAAACCCGGUGAUCUAGCCAUGGGCAGGUUGAAGGUUGGGUAACACUAACUGGAGGACCGAACCGACUAAUGUUGAAAAAUUAGCGGAUGACCUGUGGCUGGGGGUGAAAGGCCAAUCAAACCGGGAGAUAGCUGGUUCUCCCCGAAAGCUAUUUAGGUAGCGCCUCGUGAAUUCAUCUCCGGGGGUAGAGCACUGUUUCGGCUAGGGGGCCAUCCCGGCUUACCAACCCGAUGCAAACUGCGAAUACCGGAGAAUGUUAUCACGGGAGACACACGGCGGGUGCUAACGUCCGUCGUGAAGAGGGAAACAACCCAGACCGCCAGCUAAGGUCCCAAAGUCAUGGUUAAGUGGGAAACGAUGUGGGAAGGCCCAGACAGCCAGGAUGUUGGCUUAGAAGCAGCCAUCAUUUAAAGAAAGCGUAAUAGCUCACUGGUCGAGUCGGCCUGCGCGGAAGAUGUAACGGGGCUAAACCAUGCACCGAAGCUGCGGCAGCGAACGUAUCACCCAAGACAACUUUACGGAGUUGACGAUUGACGGAGCGAAGCGACGUCAAAGCGUUCAUUAAAGUCGAGUUGGCUUAGGGAUACGUUCGUUGGGUAGGGGAGCGUUCUGUAAGCCUGUGAAGGUGUGUCGUGAGGCAUGCUGGAGGUAUCAGAAGUGCGAAUGCUGACAUAAGUAACGAUAAAGCGGGUGAAAAGCCCGCUCGCCGGAAGACCAAGGGUUCCUGUCCAACGUUAAUCGGGGCAGGGUGAGUCGACCCCUAAGGCGAGGCCGAAAGGCGUAGUCGAUGGGAAACGGGUUAAUAUUCCCGUACUUGGUGUUACUGCGAAGGGGGGACGGAGAAGGCUAUGUUGGCCGGGCGACGGUUGUCCCGGUUUAAGCGUGUAGGUGUGUGUUCCAGGUAAAUCCGGUUCACUUUAACACUGAGGCGUGACGACGAGGCACUACGGUGCUGAAGCAACAAAUGCCCUGCUUCCAGGAAAAGCCUCUAAGCAUCAGGUAACAUCAAAUCGUACCCCAAACCGACACAGGUGGUCAGGUAGAGAAUACCAAGGCGCUUGAGAGAACUCGGGUGAAGGAACUAGGCAAAAUGGUGCCGUAACUUCGGGAGAAGGCACGCUGACACGUAGGUGAAGUGAUUUACUCAUGGAGCUGAAGUCAGUCGAAGAUACCAGCUGGCUGCAACUGUUUAUUAAAAACACAGCACUGUGCAAACACGAAAGUGGACGUAUACGGUGUGACGCCUGCCCGGUGCCGGAAGGUUAAUUGAUGGGGUCAGCGCAAGCGAAGCUCCUGAUCGAAGCCCCGGUAAACGGCGGCCGUAACUAUAACGGUCCUAAGGUAGCGAAAUUCCUUGUCGGGUAAGUUCCGACCUGCACGAAUGGCGUAAUGAUGGCCAGGCUGUCUCCACCCGAGACUCAGUGAAAUUGAACUCGCUGUGAAGAUGCAGUGUACCCGCGGCAAGACGGAAAGACCCCGUGAACCUUUACUAUAGCUUGACACUGAACAUUGAGCCUUGAUGUGUAGGAUAGGUGGGAGGCUUUGAAGUGUGGACGCCAGUCUGCAUGGAGCCGACCUUGAAAUACCACCCUUUAAUGUUUGAUGUUCUAACGUGGACCCGUAAUCCGGGUUGCGGACAGUGUCUGGUGGGUAGUUUGACUGGGGCGGUCUCCUCCUAAAGAGUAACGGAGGAGCACGAAGGUUGGCUAAUCCUGGUCGGACAUCAGGAGGUUAGUGCAAUGGCAUAAGCCAGCUUGACUGCGAGCGUGACGGCGCGAGCAGGUGCGAAAG